rnacentral:lncRNA from 1 species
GGAGACAUGUGCUGCACACUCCCCUAUCCCCUCUUGAGCUUGCUGCACCUUNUUUUUUUUUCCCACGCCUAUGCAGCAGGCUGCCAUGCCCAAGUACACCUAAAUAUGUCAAUCAGCCACCCUAGAAUGUACCUCCUCCCAUGUAUACAAGCUCCCAGCCAAACCACCUCGUCAUUCAAAACAGCCAACAUUGUUGCAUUCUCUUCAUUCUUCAUUUGAGGACUGCACAAGGAGAAGUGAGCCUUUAAUUCAUCCUACCAAGUAUUCUCAAGGUAAGCUUGUCUUCAAUGCUCCACCUUCUUCCCUUAUUCCACCUGCAUUAAUACAAGAACAACUUUAUUAUUUCAGUUCGAUCUGCUGCUUCAUUUAAUCCAACCACAACAGCCAACAAACACCAAAGCAAGCAUCAUUCAAGGUAUUUAUACUACCUCAGUUAUCCAAUCCAGUCCGCAUUUCAUACCAACAAGCAUGAUCAGUUUCAUAUUGACAGAGGGCCUAUAUGCGCAUAAGAGACUUAGCAUUGACAUGUUCUUUAUCGCACAACACCAGUUACAUUUUACUUAUGUAAGUAUUAGUGUGUAUGAAAUCUUGAGCAAAGGCAUAACUCUGAAGCAAAGCAUAGAACAUACAACCUGUUGUACAUAUCUCAUUUUGGAAACCACAUAAGGAAGUCACCUAUGUCUCGAUCAUUUGAUGAACUCAGGAAUCACAAAACAUCAAACACUUUUACUAGCAAGUAAUUUAUAUGACUUAGCUUAUAGGGAAGCAUCGAAC